AGUCUUGCUCUCUUGCCCAGGCUGGAGUGCAGUGGUGUCAUCAUAGCUCACUGCAGCUUCAAAUUUCUGGGCUCAAGUGAUUCUCCUGCCUUAGCCUCCCAAGUAGCUGUGGCUACAGGUUAUGUGCCACCAUGCCUGGCUAAUUUUCUAUUUUUUUUUCUGUGGAGACAGGGUCUCAUAUGUUGCCCAGGCUUGCCUUGAACUACUGGGCUCAAGCAAUCCUCCUGCCUUGGCCUGCCAAAGUGCUAGGAUUACAGAUGUAAGCCACUGUGCCCGGCCAGAAGAUGAGUUUUAAAGGAGAAAUUGUGGCAUUUACAGCAGUCUGGAAGGCGCAAAGAACCCUUGUCUCACGUCAGAAAUACUUCUCUGCUGAAACACUAAUUGGCCAGAGUCAAUGUAGUCUGCUGGGGCUCUUCGUGACUGCUUUGCUUACAAAGUACCAAAGACAUAAAAGCAUUUCCAUGGACUUAAGCCAAAUCAGGUAGGUUUCACUUGUUGUUAUUAUAAGAUCAUUUGGGAAAGGGGCUGGGAAAGAAAACUCAAAAAGCUAAUUAAUGAAAACACACCCAAUUAAAGCCUUGCCCUGAUAUCAUCGCCUCUACCUCCCAUUCCAAGUGAGAGAUUUAUUCUGUAGCUCUUAGGGCAAGGUGGCAGAGCCAUCCGUUGUUGGGAUUUAGGGUCUGGUAGUGCAGCUAUAAGCAGACUUAGAGGCAUUUACAUUGCUGAGAUUUGGGGUGAGGUGAGAUAGGUAAAACGUGUAAUUCAAGAAAUGGUGAUGGAAUAUCAGUGAUAAAAAAUUUAGAAUUUCAUUAAGAACAAGAGGAAAACAGAGGUUUGGGGACAAAGAAUCAAGAGAAAGAAGUCAUCCACUUUCCGGUAUAAAGCUGACAGUUUUUAAUGAUCUCACCAGUCCAAUUGGCCAUGCAGGCAUUCUCAAUGUAUUAGUUGUCUAUCUCUGUGAGAUGAAUUACCACAAAAUGUAGCAGCUUAGAACCGAAAUGUCUGUUAUCUCACACAGUUUCUGAGGGUCAGAAAUCCAGAUGUGACUUAGCUGGUGGUUCUGGCUCAAGGUCUCUCAGGAGGUUGCCAUCGAGAUAUGUCAGGCAGGGUUGUAGUCAUCCGAAGGCUUGACUGGGACGGGCGGACCUAUUUUCAAGAUGACUUGCUCACAUUGCUCUUGGCUGGAGGCCUCUGUGUCUUGCUAUGUGGACUUCUUCAUGGGGCUUGUGGGGCGUCUCACAACUUGGCAGCCAGUUUCCCGAAAGAGUGAUUUGAGAGAAUGAGCAAAGAGGAAGCCACCAUGGCUUUUAUGACCUACCUCAGAGUCUCACAGGGUCAUCUCUGUCCAAGUCCAACUCAUACUCAAGGGGUGGGGAAUCAGGCUCCACCUUUGAAAGGCAGGAGUAGCAAAGAAUUUGUGGGCAUAUUUUAAAACUACUAUGGUAAUGAAUCACAGGAACAAUUCUAUCACUUUGUGGCAAAAGGCUAGCGAUUUUUGAUUGUCUAAUGUGAACAAUUGUUCAUUUAUUCUCCAUAAUUUAACCUUAUGCUGCUAUCCCUUUGCUUAUAUCAUAGAGUACUAAAGAACUUCCUUUUAGGCUAUAGGUGACUAGAAAACAGUGGAUGUGUCUGGCAUUUUAAAGAAAGUGGAUUUUUUUUUUGUUGUUUUUUGGAUUGGCUUACCUGGGUAUGGUUCUAGCAAAAGCCAUUCAGGGGCAAAAGUGCAUCAGAACCACACCACACUCACUCCAUUUGCUUAAAUUCUCUUGGCUGCUUUCAAGGCUGAACCUGAUUAUGUUUUCCUCUACCCUCAAUCACUGAUGGUGCCUAUUCUGUG
ensembl:lincRNA